rnacentral:rRNA from 1 species
UUUAUUGUUAAAUAUGCUAGUCCUUUCAUGAUUAUGUGAUAGGUGGUGCAUGGCCGUUCUUAGUUCGUGGAGUGAUCUGUCUGCUUAAUUGCGUUUCACUAUAAGGAUCUAUAUUCUUUACAGUGUGCAGUGCAUUGACCCCUUCUUCGGAAGCGUGUGUCUUUACGCUCACACUUCAUUAGGUCCUGAAAGCAACGAACGUGACCGCAACCUCUUGUUGCCUCUGUGCUCCUACACGCUCAAUGCGCUAAACACUGGUUUUCUUAGCUUAGUGCGUUGGUUGAGGCUUUCUUAAACU